CUGCGGCAGCGACACUAUGUGUUGUUGGGUAGGGGAGCGUUCUGUAAGCCUGCGAAGGUGUGCUGUGAGGCAUGCUGGAGGUAUCAGAAGUGCGAAUGCUGACAUAAGUAACGAUAAAGCGGGUGAAAAGCCCGCUCGCCGGAAGACCAAGGGUUCCUGUCCAACGUUAAUCGGGGCAGGGUGAGUCGACCCCUAAGGCGAGGCCGAAAGGCGUAGUCGAUGGGAAACAGGUUAAUAUUCCUGUACUUGGUGUUACUGCGAAGGGGGGACGGAGAAGGCUAUGUUGGCCGGGCGACGGUUGUCCCGGUUUAAGCGUGUAGGCUGGUUUUCCAGGCAAAUCCGGAAAAUCAAGGCUGAGGCGUGAUGACGAGGCACUACGGUGCUGAAGCAACAAAUGCCCUGCUUCCAGGAAAAGCCUCUAAGCAUCAGGUAACAUCAAAUCGUACCCCAAACCGACACAGGUGGUCAGGUAGAGAAUACCAAGGCGCUUGAGAGAACUCGGGUGAAGGAACUAGGCAAAAUGGUGCCGUAACUUCGGGAGAAGGCACGCUGAUAUGUAGGUGAAGUCCCUCGCGGAUGGAGCUGAAAUCAGUCGAAGAUACCAGCUGGCUGCAACUGUUUAUUAAAAACACAGCACUGUGCAAACACGAAAGUGGACGUAUACGGUGUGACGCCUGCCCGGUGCCGGAAGGUUAAUUGAUGGGGUCAGCGCAAGCGAAGCUCUUGAUCGAAGCCCCGGUAAACGGCGGCCGUAACUAUAACGGUCCUAAGGUAGCGAAAUUCCUUGUCGGGUAAGUUCCGACCUGCACGAAUGGCGUAAUGAUGGCCAGGCUGUCUCCACCCGAGACUCAGUGAAAUUGAACUCGCUGUGAAGAUGCAGUGUACCCGCGGCAAGACGGAAAGACCCCGUGAACCUUUACUAUAGCUUGACACUGAACAUUGAGCCUUGAUGUGUAGGAUAGGUGGGAGGCUUUGAAGUGUGGACGCCAGUCUGCAUGGAGCCGACCUUGAAAUACCACCCUUUAAUGUUUGAUGUUCUAACGUUGACCCGUAAUCCGGGUUGCGGACAGUGUCUGGUGGGUAGUUUGACUGGGGCGGUCUCCUCCUAAAGAGUAACGGAGGAGCACGAAGGUUGGCUAAUCCUGGUCGGACAUCAGGAGGUUAGUGCAAUGGCAUAAGCCAGCUUGACUGCGAGCGUGACGGCGCGAGCAGGUGCGAAAGCAGGUCAUAGUGAUCCGGUGGUUCUGAAUGGAAGGGCCAUCGCUCAACGGAUAAAAGGUACUCCGGGGAUAACAGGCUGAUACCGCCCAAGAGUUCAUAUCGACGGCGGUGUUUGGCACCUCGAUGUCGGCUCAUCACAUCCUGGGGCUGAAGUAGGUCCCAAGGGUAUGGCUGUUCGCCAUUUAAAGUGGUACGCGAGCUGGGUUUAGAACGUCGUGAGACAGUUCGGUCCCUAUCUGCCGUGGGCGCUGGAGAACUGAGGGGGGCUGCUCCUAGUACGAGAGGACCGGAGUGGACGCAUCACUGGUGUUCGGGUUGUCAUGCCAAUGGCACUGCCCGGUAGCUAAAUGCGGAAGAGAUAAGUGCUGAAAGCAUCUAAGCACGAAACUUGCCCCGAGAUGAGUUCUCCCUGACUCCUUGAGAGUCCUGAAGGAACGUUGAAGACGACGACGUUGAUAGGCCGGGUGUGUAAGCGCAGCGAUGCGUUGAGCUAACCGGUACUAAUGAACCGUGAGGCUUAACCUUACAACGCCGAAG
rnacentral:rRNA from 1 species